GACGAACGCUGGCGGCGUGCUUAACACAUGCAAGUCGAACGAAGUGGCGAACGGGUGAGUAACGCGUAAUCAACCUGCCCUUCAGAGGGGGACAACAGUUGGAAACGACUGCUAAUACCGCAUACUGAAGGAGGGGAUUGCGUCUGAUUAGCUAGUUGGAGGGGUAACGGCCCAACAAGGCGAUGAUCAGUAGCCUGUUUGAGAGGAAUAACGGUCAAAAUGGGACUGAGACACGGCCCAGACUCCGACGGGAGGCAGCAGGUGGGAAUCUUCCGAAAUGGACGAAAGUCUGACGGAGGAACGGCGCGGGAGUGAUGACGGGCUUCGGGUUGUAAAGCUCUGUUAAGCGGGACGCGGUACCGGAAUAGAAAGCCACGGCUAACUACGUGCCAGCAGCCGCGGUAAUUC
rnacentral:rRNA from 1 species